rnacentral:lncRNA from 1 species
UAUAAUAACCUCUUCCCCUGAAGCCUUUCUUUAAGUCUUUUCAUCUUCCUUCUUCCUUCUCCUUCUUCUUUGUUCAAACACAAAAGACCGACAAAAGCCUCUGUCUUAGACAAAGAUAAAGAAACAGAACAACACAAUACAGAUUACAGAGAAAGAGCAAUGGCUAUUACACAAAUACUUGUCCUCUUUGCUUCUGCAUUACUCCUAUCAAUGUUCUUCACUGGCGUCGAUUCCACAAGGUAUUGAAAUGUUUUGGAUCAAUGUUUUUAUGUGAUCUGGUUCAUGGAAAUAGAGCAUUAACUUCUCAAAUCUAUGUUCAAACAAGAGAACCCUUUUUCUUGAUUUGAAUUACUUGAUCAUGAUUAUUUGGAUUUGGUAUUAAAGAUCUAGAAUUGGAAGGAAUUCUUUUUAUAUUCUAUUGAUUAUGUACAGAUCCAUUUGCUUAAACACCGGUGUGUUAUUAGAGAGUAUUGAAUGAUGAUGCAACAUUUCAAUGAUUGUAGUGUAAGUAGUGAUUAAGCAAGGUUUAGUAAAUUGAAUUGUU